UGCCCAGAACUGCAAAAGAGGAUAUCGAUGCGCGAUAUUAUUAGACUUGUCAGUCGGGCAGACAUGCACGUAGGGGAAAAAGGAGAGGACUUUUAAGAGCGAGGACGGCAACAGCAGCCGGGGAGGCGAAGAGGACGCGUCGCAUCGCUUCGCUGAGGAAUUGAAUCGGACAAUUACGUUACCGAGUCGCGCGAGGUGUGGUAAAUAACUCAAUGGCUCGACCGAAAGAUCUACGUUGCGUUGAAUGGAAUCUAAGCGACGAUCUCAUUCAAACCGAGGAAACAAACGAGUCACAGGAGCAAAGCGCAACCCGCGCUGUUCAAAGCAGUGAGCGAGUCGGAGAAACGAACGAUCGGGCGCGAACCGGGCGGUUUUCGGUGGCGUUCUUCUAUCCGUCCGUCCGUCACUGGCGAGAAAAGCGGAGUGAACUGUUGAAAAAAAUGUCACACGCACGAGCAUGCGUGCGUGAGCGAGCGAGCGAGUGCGCUGAGUUCAAGCACGAGUCGGAGAGCGCGAGGCGUCACGCGUAUAUCUGCUUUCGUGCGGCUUUCGCGACGCAAUCGGCGCCCGUAAUCGCACGAAGGUUUCAAUGAAUCGCGCGCGCGGCGACGUGCCAGCUAGCCGCGGACUUUAUCAGCGUGGCAAAGAGCAGUAUCAGCGAUAGCCCAGUCGUGCGUCUAUGAGCACGAAUCAUCGCCAAGUUCGCAGGCAGGCGCGCUCUAGAAACGAGGCGUGGUUACGUCCUUUUUUUCGACAGAUGAUGUUUCUUUUCUUUCAACGGUGAACAACGUCGAUCGCUCUGAUCAGCCGUGCGAUACCAGAAGAUAAUAACCGACUGAGUCGAGUUAACGACCCUGUGCAAUGCGCGAAAGAGAAAAUGAAGAGACUAACAAGGAGAGAGAGAGAGAGAGAGAGAAUUCAGGUAGCAGAGGUGGUCACGAUAAGAUAAUAAACGCGUACGAAACUCGCGCGAUAAGGCGUCACUCGAAAUCGAGUUAGCGGAGAAACAAUCGGCGAAAACAUCAGGUGGGCGUGAAUCCUCAUUUGCACAAGAGGGCGCCGAUUCACGCUAUACCGGGUAUGUCGCGCCUUAACGGGAGUUAUCCUUCCGUUAUCUCUCUUCCUUCUCGAGUUACCAAUAUUUACGAUACUCGAUAGCAGGUGCGCUUGCACCGAUCGUGCGCGUCCUCCGUCCGCUGAUCGUCCGUGUUUUCACCGUUACGAUCGUGUUGUUCGUUAGAACAAAGAUAUACUGGGAAACAGAGUAGGAUUAAUGAAAUUUUGCUUAAACGACGAACGAAAUUAUCCUUUCAAGCGCAACGUUUAGUCCAUUAAAUAAAUUAUACAGUUGCUGCGAUGAAUUGUUAGUUGACUCGACGAUAUCAACGUGUUGUUGCGCCAACGUGUAAUUUGUUCAAUGAGCGCAAUCUUUUUCUUUUAAACGAGGGUGACCGAUCGAUUUUGUCGAUUUAACCGCUUUUUUCGGUGUACAAAGAAAAAAAGUAUUGGAACCAAGUAAACGUAUUUACCUAUUUUUCAGUCUCUAAUCAAGUUCAUUUACUAUAUUUUAAUCAUUUGUAGGACAUUUUUACUUCAACGCAGUAAUACUUUAAUUUGUAAGUAAAUAACUGACUGUAAAUUGGUUCUAAAUUUUAAAGAGCAUUUAUUAGAAUUAUGUAAUGCUUCUUUUCCAUUGAAGAAACUUAGUGACUUGAAAUUUUCUUAAAGAUAAAUUCUGAUGUCCUGAAUAUUAUGAAUUUAAUGCCUGUCGCAAUUAUUUUAACACAUACAACUGUCUUUUAUAUGAAGGAAAUACCAUAUUAUAUAUAAUCAAUCGUAUUUCUACAAUUCUGGUAAAUAUUUGCCAAAGAGUACUGGAGUAAUUAUUUUUCUUGAGUCGAAUAAAUAUUAUUUGUACCGUAGCCCUUUUUUCACUGCAGAAAAAAACCAUUUUCGUCAUCACCGUUUCGAAAACAUCGUGUCUUACUUAUUGUAUCAAUCCGUCGCAUCUUUCGCCGCGAUGGAAUUCCCUGAUCCGCUUACUCGGUUCCGCGGAAGCCCGUCGACGUCGGCGUCGUCGGCGCAACGCAUCUCGGACGCUGCGUUAUUUUGUCGCGAUAGAGCGGGCACGCUCGCCCUGCGUACACUCUGUGUGUGUGUGUGUGUGUGUGCGCGCGCACGAGAAACUUAAUACUCCGCGGUAGCGUCGCUGCAAAUAAUAUCUCGGCGAGAAAAGCGACGGCAAGCUCGCAAACGGAUUCGCGCGUAACAUGUAACCGCGUGGUACCGCGCGAUCGUAAUUUUCGCGGAAGGACAAUCAGCGGCGUGCGUAAUCCUAUCCUCCCAGCGCGUAAUCAUCAACCGACGUGGUUUCCUACAGAGAACAGCUUUCCGGUGGAAAGGGCGCGGCGGUUAGGUGCGAAUCGGCAGUUUGCAGCGCUCGCGCGAUCAAAAGAUUGCAAAAUUAAAAAACGAUAAAUCACAAGGCGGCAAAUCCUCCCCCCACUGCUCUCUCUUUCUCUCUCUCUAUGCAUUCAGUUACACUGACGGAGUUGUUUUUUCUGUGCAUUCUAACCCUUUGAGACCCAAGACAUUUUUGCUCGGGAACUUUGUAUGAGUACUAUUAUCCUUUCAAAAUUAUUUUAAAAUAUUCGAGAAAAAUGAUAAAAAUAUUAUUUGGCCUUCUAUGUUGGUUCCAGAAACUUAUGGUUGUAAGUUACUCAUCAGGAUUACGAUGGUUGGGCGCAUAGUGAGUCACGUGCAAUGUCUGACCACCAAAAUUGUGACGGUUGAGGCUCAAAAGGCUAAUCUCGGCUGAGACGUUCACUUUUGUGAUCUCGAGUAGCAAUUUUUUCGCCGUCGCCUCGACAGAGAAAUUUCGGGAGCGAGCCGAAUCCUGUUACGUCAAUUCCACGUUACAAGGGUCGCUAAAUCCUAAAAGAGAAGGUCCUAACGGAACACUGUCCUUGAUUGUCACGCGAGUUUGAUUUGAAAAAAAUGUUAGACCUGCUUCACAAAAGGAAGCAGCAGAUACAUCAGAUGAUUCAGGUGACCCUCAGAAAGCCUGGAAAAGUCUCUGGAGGUGACUUCUAAAUACGGAAAAGACCCUGCACUGCGUAGUUUCCUUGUCGGAAGAAAAAAUCUUGAAGGCGAAACCUUGCUAUCGACCAUGAUAACUCGGCACCCUUGAUUCGAGGUACCUGUUUCUAUCUAUAAACCACUCUCCGGAACUCAGUCAGCAUUGUCAAGCGUUAACUAUGCUUCAUUGCCGGUGAAAGUUUCACAGUUAAACCGAAUUAAGACAGGUAUUUUUUUUUUCCAAGAGAUAUUUCGAGGCCUUUUGACGUCCGAUGACGGUCGAUACACUUCCGAGAGGCGUCAUUCAGAAGAAAGUUCCCACAGAUCGACGUGCUGCGUUGCGAAACGGCGUAUUUUUACGCUCCGCAUAUCCCGGAUACGCGCCGGACACCGAGAAAGGCCGCCUUUAUUCCGCGCGUUCAUCUCGCGCGAUACGCGACGGCGCGAUGUCCUUGCCGAGGCUCGCGGAAAAAACGUCGUGCGUACGCGGCGAUGCAGCAGGAAAAAAAUGCGACGACGCGGAGAAAGGGAGAAGCGGGAGAUUAAAAGCUCUCCGCGGCCGGGGCGCGACGACGCCGAGCGGAGUACGAAAUUACGUCCGGCGUGUACACACACGCUCGUCCGAGGGAGAGACGAGCGGCGCGUGUCGCAUUCCGCUGCAACGACGCCGCGCGACGUUUAUAAUCCUUUGAUGUAUUUCGUGCAGGCCGCAUGGAGCAACGUAAACAAUCUCUAUUUUCUAUGGUACGCGAAAAACAGAUAGCGCGCCGCAUUUAGCGUUCCCCAAGGCGGUUGUCGGAUUUCGAGUUUCGAUUGCGAAGAGGAGACCGCCGGACGUUUACGACGGCUGUCAUUAAACUCCGAUUAGGCCGAUCAACGAUUGACCGGCAGAACUGUCAACAGCAGUUUGUGGCUGAGUAAUUUGCAAUUUCUAGCCCGUCAAUGAGCCGGAAGUUGAUGAUUUUGCGUGUGUUAACGAGACGAGGCUUGGCCAAUAUUCGACUGGAAAUUUGAAAGUUUGAAUUGUAAGUUACAAAAGGAGAGGAUGAGAGAAAAUGUUUUUACUUGUUCUUGUAACGGUGUGUCUUAUCUUCUACGUUGGGAACUCCGCCGGUUGAGUCAAUAAUAAUCGACGAUUAGCCCGAUCAGAACUUGAAUGAUGAAAGUUACACCUUAGGGUAGAACUGUUAGCAUCAAUUUCCAGCUGUGUAAUUUGUCGUCGACAGUGACCGAAAAAUCAUUUCUAUUAAAAAGGGACUGUUUUCAAUUUUUCUGAGGAAAGAAACUGAAAAGAUCCACGAUAUUUUUUUUUUCAAUUUUUUCGCGGAAAAACCCAAUCUUUUUCUGAACCUUUAAAACCAGAAUUCCUAUUUCAGCAAAACAAAGCAAGCAAUACUUGUUGACUGGUAAUGAUAUUAAAUCGCUGACUAGAUCGGAGCAGGAAUGGUGAAAGUCAACGUUAGUGUGACUCGUGUAUCGACUGUUCUAAGCCGACAUUAAAAUUUCGAUUUAUCUACUUGCGGAGAGAGAGACACACAGAUAAGCGACCGAAUUGACAUCGCAACGUCACGUACGCAUGUGUACGAGUGUGAGAGAGAAAAACAAAAACACGAAAGAAACGCGUUAGAAGGAAAAAUUCCCUCUGAAGAAUGAGCGAUCCGACUAGUCUCGCAGUUAUCAUUAAUGAACACUCAAGUGCGAACGUUGCUCAACACAGAUCGGGAAAAGAAGGUAUUAAAAAGGUGUCUGUGUGUGUCGUAAACGACGCGUUUCUUUAGAAGGUUAAAGUCUGGUGUCAUCGACGGCGUCAUCUCGGCGAUAUCGGAUCGCGCGCGACGAUCAGUCCAGUAUCACGCGUAAGCGUCCGAGUCUGUUAUGCUGGAGCGCGAAGGGGAGAAAGAGAGAGAGAGAGAGAGAGAAAAGCGCGAGCGUAGGUCUGUACGGAGACGAAGAUUAGGAAGAAAAGUGAAAAAGGUCGCGCGACGGCUCCGGAGAACGGCGUUCUCCCGAGUCGACGAGGGAAACGGUGCGAUUCUCGGCACCGCUGGUAUUUCAGUCUCUAACCUUAGAACAGCUAACCUCGUCUCUCUCUUCUCUUUCCGUCCCGUUCUCUCCUUCUCGCGGAGACGCGCGACGUCGAGGUAAAAACAGCCGCGUGCCAUCUCGCGCAAGAAUUCCUCUCGUGGAAACGCAUCGAUCGCGGGAUGAGGAAGACGCGAAGUUCGGAGAACGUCGCGAGAGAGGAAAACGUAAGAAGCCGAAGGAGGAGGAGGUGAAGCGGUGUCGCCGCGUUUAUCGGACGGAAUCGGAAAAAACAUGAAACCGCGCUCGAGAUAGAGGCGUACGCGCUCGGGCCGACCGGGGAAGUGUCACACGCAGCGAUAAAGCCGUCGAUUCGCCCGCACGAAGAAGGGUGACCCUCGGGGAUCGCGGCAAAAAGCGGCGACGGUGCGAUCGAGGGCGCGCCGGGCAACGAUCUUCCACGGCGAGGCGGAGAAUCGGUCCGUCGUUCGCCCGUGUUCGCCGAAGCGGUCAGGAAGAGAGAGAGAGAGAGAGAGAGAGAAACGAGCGUGCGAACUAACCGAGCGAAGGAACGCGAGGAGGAGGCCGAGGGAGAAAGAGGGCGGACGGACGAGCGAGAAAGACGGAGAAACGCGGAACGAGAUCGUCGGCGGGUCAACACAUCUGCAUGGCAGAAGGCGAGCACGGGAACGGACGGCGAGGAAGCCGAGUCGGUCUCGCGCGUUCCGCAUCUCCAAUCGAUUCCAACGCGCGCGGCCCGGCGCGAGAGGAGACGCGCGCGCCCGUUCCGCACUCGCUCGCACCCGAAACGAUGAAAGCGACGUCGUCCGUAGGCAAAUCGCGCACGACUACGGU